GCGGUGCCGCCGCCCAAUCGCCGCCAGGCGAGCCGGGGACCCAGGCACGUGGGGUGAAUCCGCGACAGCGGUAGGGGCCACUUCCGCCCCGAACCCGUCAGCUAACCCGGUCGGCGGUCGACGGAAGGGAAA
rfam:Micromonospora echinofusca strain DSM 43913 genome assembly, chromosome: I